AUCUAUCAUCAAACUGAUGUUUCACCUUAGUUUUGGCUGCUAGACGAUAUAUUUCAGGAACUUCUGGUUGCUUGUGAUGCUUUGGAUACGCCACCUGACCAUACAAGUCAUACUUGUCAAUGAGCUUGAGUACAGUGAUUUAGAGUUCAAGAAUGCAUCGGUGAAAUUGCAGUUGCAGUUGUGUGAGGUUACCAAAUUUGCCAGUUCACGAAGGGGUGGGCAUUCUCCAAAAGCCUUCAGUAAAGUGGUGAUAUUUUUCUUUGGAUCUGGACGAGAUAAUGCUAGUAUCAUGGGCUUGUGAGGAUUUGUGAAGAAACGCAUAAUCUGCAAGUUGGGAAUAAUUUGUCAAAAUCUUAAGAGGAGGCCCGCACGGGAUUCGAAUAAUGUAGGCACCACAGCUGCCGAAUCCAUCAGAUGGGCAUGAAAGCAUCUCAAUUGGUUCUCCGUAGGUGGAGUCCACCUCCGGGGAUGUGAUUUGUCGCGUCAGAAGAUCGAC